UGACUUGACACGCGAUGCACGUUGUGGUUCCUCACUUCGCGCCUGUGUCGACGUUACAGUCGUUAACGCUCAUACCUUUGGAAUCCCCGCUGGGACAAGCUGGAGACACUUCCCGCUCUGGCAUCUGGUCCAGCACUCGGAAUAAUGAAGGGUUUGCAGUCUUGCUACGUCGUGACGCCACCGCUGGAUGGAAGCACUUAUUCAGAAGUUAAGUUAAGCUCUAUGAGGAAACAAAAAAUGUAGGAUUAAGCACUAUUUUCAUC